rnacentral:rRNA from 1 species
CCUGGAAAACAGAUGCUAAUACCGGAUAACAACAGAUGAUGCCUAUCAACUGUUUAAAAAAGUAUGGUUCUGCUAUCACUCUUGGAUGGACCUGCGGUGCAUUAGCUAGUUGGUAAGGGUAACGGCCUACCAAGGCGAUGAUGCAUAGCCGAGUUGAGAGACUGAUCGGCCACAUUGGGACUGAGACACGGCCCAAACUCCUACGGGAGGCAGCAGUAGGGAAUCUUCCACAAUGGACGCAAGUCUGAUGGAGCAACGCCGCGUGAGUGAAGUAAGGGUUUCGGCUACGUAAAGCUCUGUUGUUGGUGAAGAAGGACAGGGGUAGUAACUGACCUUUGUUUGACGGUAAUCAAUUAGAAAGUCACGGGCUAACUACGUGCCCAGCAGCCGCGGUAAAAU